CCAACGGUUUCAUUACAUAAUUUAAACAGGAUUAUUCAUUCUGCCGACAUAUUAAUAUCACACAUCACUUGUAUUUUGUUGGUCAAUACAAUACAGAAGCCUUGGUAGCAAUGACAUUUAUUAAGCAGGAGCAAAUCGGUAACCAAGCAUAACAUACACACAUCGCAGCUCAGUUCAUAUACAUGCAUCUGCAGAAAUGGAAAACGAAAUCCUGGGUUCAACUCUAUCCUGCUUUUACCUUCUCAUCAAAAGUAAACAGUGUAGUUGUUGAAGAGAUGAAACUGUCUACUCAGCUUUCCAAGAUGACAAUGGAGGGGUCUCAGACUCCUUCCAAGUACUAGCCAUUGGAGGACCCUGAACAUCACCUGCAGCCGCGUAAGACUCGAGUUCAGCCAUUUCCUCUGGUGUGAGCUUCACAGCUAAUGCUCCCACAUUUUGGUUGAAAUUUUCAAUUUUUGUUGUCCCAGGGAUGGGGCAAACAUCGCUUCCCUGAUGGUGAACCCAAGCCAAGGCAAGUUGUGAUGGUGUGCAUCCUUUCCUUGUGGCCAUCGCAUCAACACGCUCAAAUAUCUGGGCAUUCUUCUCGAGACUCUCUGGUUGAAAUCUAGGUAAAUUCUGUAGAAGUAUAAAGUUAUCAGUAAAAGAUCAAACUGGUAGUACAAGUUCCACCUCAGUUUUAUAGGAGAAAUGGACAAGUCUUGUAUGUACACUCAUGCCAGUUCACAAAAAACUGUGAUUUUAGACAAUGAUAUGGUCCUCGCAGCAUUUUUAUUAUAAUAUACUUUGUUACCAGUAGCUUUACAAGUUCAAAUGCUAGUUGACAAAAAUUGUUGAAUUUGAUCCCCCAGAUGCGCUACGAGGUCAUGCUCCAACGUGACGCGGAGGCGCUCCGGCUCGAGGAGGAGGAGGAGGGGCGCGCGCGGCUGGCCGCAAUGCCGCCGCCCUGACAGCGUACCAGGCGGCGUUCGGGUGGACUGGCCCUGCUCAGGUUUUCAUCGACCUCACCGACGACGACGGCGUCGACGACAAGGGCAAGGGCAAGGCCGACAACGUCUAGGGCAGCGUGCGGGGCGGCAGCAGGCGGGCGCAGACUUUUUUAAUGUUUUAUUUAAUGUUUAAUUAGAUCUAAGUAGACUUUGGCCGGAGUUUGACCGGCCACUUAUGUUUAAUUAUGUUUAUUUCGUGCAACCUUUUUGUUUAUUUUCCACGCCAGCACAUUUGGAUCGGUCUUUUCGUUGGACGGUCAAGCCGACCCAUUUUAAAAUACGGAUGUGCACAUCCGCCUGGCCGGUCCAAGCGGACAAAGCGCGUAUCCGUUUGGAUCGCCCUGGUAGAGUUGCUCUAAACGCUCUUAUAUUUCCUUACGGACGAAGUACUUUUACGGUGCUCCAGAACCAAGCUAAAACAAGCAUCGAGGCUACCAGCAUAAAGGCAGUCUUCGGCCCUAUCUUCCAAACUGGAUUGUUUGGGCAUGUAAAGGCUGAACUAUCUAUGGUAACCACUGUUGGUCUCUGCACCACUGCACAUACUCUACCAACGGUUUCAUUACAUAAUUUAAACAGGAUUAUUCAUUCUGCCGACAUAUUAAUAUCACACAUCACUUGUAUUUUGUUGGUCAAUACAAUACAGAAGCCUUGGUAGCAAUGACAUUUAUUAAGCAGGAGCAAAUCGGCAACCAAGCAUAACAUACACACAUCGCAGCUCAGUUCAUAUACAUGCAUCUGCAGAAAUGGAAAACAAAUCCUGGGUUCAACUCUACCCUGCUUUUACCUUCUCAUCAAAAGUAAACAGUGUAGUUGUUGAAGAGAUGAAACUGUCUACUCAGCUUUCCAAGAUGACAAUGGAGGGGUCUCAGACUCCUUCCAAGUACUAGCCAUUGGAGGGUACCGUUCACCCUGAACAUCACCUGCAGCCGCGUAAGACUCGAGUUCAGCCAUUUCCUCUGGUGUGAGCUUCACAGCUAAUGCUCCCACAUUUUGGUUGAAAUUUUCAAUUCUUGUUGUCCCAGGGAUGGGGCAAACAUCGCUUCCCUGAUGGUGAACCCAAGCCAAGGCAAGUUGUGAUGGUGUGCAUCCUUUCCUUGUGGCCAUCGCAUCAACACGCUCAAAUAUCUGGGCAUUCUUCUCGAGACUCUCUGGUUGAAAUCUAGGUAAAUUCUGUAGAAGUAUAAAGUUGUCAGUAAAAGAUCAAACUGGUAGUACAAGUUCCACCUCAGUUUUAUAGGAGAAAUGGACAAGUCUUGUAUGUACACUCAUGCCAGUUCACAAAAAACUGUGAUUUUAGACAAUGAUAUGGUCCUCGCAGCAUUUUUAUUAUAAUAUACUUUGUUACCAGUAGCUUUACAAGUUCAAAUGCUAGUUGACAAANNNNNNNNNNNNNNNNNNNNNNNNNNNNNNNNNNNNNNNNNNNNNNNNNNNNNNNNNNNNNNNNNNNNNNNNNNNNNNNNNNNNNNNNNNNNNNNNNNNNNNNNNNNNNNNNNNNNNNNNNNNNNNNNNNNNNNNNNNNNNNNNNNNNNNNNNNNNNNNNNNNNNNNNNNNNNNNNNNNNNNNNNNNNNNNNNNNNNNNNNNNNNNNNNNNNNNNNNNNNNNNNNNNNNNNNNNNNNNNNNNNNNNNNNNNNNNNNNNNNNNNNNNNNNNNNNNNNNNNNNNNNNNNNNNNNNNNNNNNNNNNNNNNNNNNNNNNNNNNNNNNNNNNNNNNNNNNNNNNNNNNNNNNNNNNNNNNNNNNNNNNNNNNNNNNNNNNNNNNNNNNNNNNNNNNNNNNNNNNGUAUGACCAUUUACCGGGGCACACCAGUAAGGCCGGUAACUGACCAAUAACCAAAAAUACCGGCCAGUUACCAAAACUUUCGGCACAACGCAAAGCCGGCAAUAGAGUAACAGCUACUGCCCCCGGGGAAGAUGACAGAUAGGGAGGCAGAAGUGCUAAGAAGCAGGGAACAAAAGAGCAAUCAUCGGAGUGACAGAGUACAAGAGCGGACACACUGUAAUACCAUGUAGUAGACUACUAACACUUGCCACACACCAUUGCAUUUCAUUGAUCACGAAUAACUAGAGUAAAUUGCUUACAUGAGGUAACCUUAAAGAGAGUAGAUAAUAGACCGUGAUGGUAGAGUACCAUGCAUACAUGCAGGACAUGCCACACAAACCAGGUGCAGGUCUAACACAUAUAUCCAAUCCAAAUACAUUUGGUCAAUGUACCCUUGCAAAUGCAUGCAAUUGUGAAUCAAUGCAAGCAUGGUAAUUGCUGUGGUACCUUUGCAAAGAGGUGAAACAGAGUCAAUUUAUCAUUGGUACUCCCUCCGUCCAGAAAUACUUGUCCUCGAAAUGGUUGUAUCUAGACUUAUUUUAGUUAUAGAUACAUCCAUUUUAUCCAUUUCGAGGACAAGUAUUUCCGGACGGAGGGAGUACCCAAUAUUUUGAGGGAUACCUAAACUACCCCCAAGGUGGAAAAUGAUGAAAUAAGGCACAAAAUGUUGAAAUAUAUUGUCCACCAUUCGCCAUCAGUUCAGACUUUGUAUGAACUGGUUGGUGCAUGAAUUAGAUAUGGUAUCAGAGCCAAGAGGUCGCAAGUUCAAGACCCGACAAACACAUUUUUGAAUAAAAAUAAUUGCAGCCUACAUUGAUGCCAUAUCUAAGGCUAGGAGCAGCCUAGACGUGAAGGGGGGGUGGAAAUAAAAUGCUCACCCUUCUGCAUUAGUUCGGACUUUUGGAUGAACUCCUUGUGCAUGAGAUCAAUACAAAACACAGCGACAAGAUUUACUAUUCAUCUAAUAAUAUACACCCAAGAAUUUAUUUUCAAAAAUUUCAACACAGAAGUGCUCCAUUUGAACUUAUUAGGGUGAUACACUGACCCUAUUUGACAUCUUUGCAAUGGCACCAUAGGAAUUACCGUGUUUGAAGUGAUACAUUAAUAAUUACCUUUGUAGUGGUACAUCAACAAUUUAUCGAAUAAGAUAUCAGUACCACAAAUUUUGGAGUUUGACUAGACAUAUGUCCAAAACAACUACUUUUUGCAAGGCAAUGCUUUAAAAAAGUUUCCAUAGGAUCAAGGGAAUGAGGAUCAUUCCCAUCAUGCAUAAGCAUAAUAUUUGGAUCAUUGCACAUUUAGAAAUCUGAUGACAAUGAAGAACUAAGUUGCAGCCACAAUGUCAUGGGAAGUCACCUUGCGGAAGUCCUGGUCUGAUAGUGAGUCAACCAAUUUUGCUCCUUUAGAGAAGAAUCCUCUACCAAGUGGGCUGUAAGCAACAAUUCCAAUUCCAAGUUCUCUGAAAUUUACAAGUAAAAUGAUUAUGAUAAAUAAAGCGCCCGACUUUUCAACAAACAAAAUGCCCUGGUCCCUGGUUUUUGUAUAAUACUCCCUCCGUCCGAAAAUACUUGUCAUCAAAAUGGAUAAGAAGGGGUGUAUCUAUAACUAAAAUACGUCUAGAUACAUCCCCUUUUAUUUAUUUUGGUGACAGGUAUUUCCGGACGGAGGGAGUACCUGCAAGUUGGAAUUAUGUCUUCUUCGACAUCUCUUGACCACAGUGACCACUCCAUCUGAACUGCAGUGAUAGGAUGAACAGCAUGAGCCCUCCUGAUUGUUGAUGCAGAUGCUUCAGAUAAUCCGAUGUAUUUUAUUUUUCCUUCUUCGACAAGCUUCUUGAGUUCUCCAACCUAAUAAGGUGGAAGUAAAUUUAGUUGGCAACAUAAAAAAACAAAGGCAUGGCUUACAUCAUAUAACAACAUAAUAAAUGGACAAGGAUGAGAACAAAAGGACCAGUCCGACAGUUGUGUGUACAGAUAAAGGACAGCCAUAAGACACCAACCAUCCGGUGAACCAGCCUCCGCCAACCAUCUCUCUAUUCUAAGAAAUUUUACUUCUCUCACUUGCAGUCUUCACCUCCACUUGUAUGUACGUAUUCAUAACAUUAACCACAACAAAUAUAAAAACCACUCCAAAAACACAAACGGGAGCACGACUUCCUCCUUCACUAACGGAGCGGUGGAGGACGACGGCCCCCGAGACCGUGGACGGCGGCGCCACGAUCCGGAGCUCACUCCAUCGGAUCCACCGGUCGGAACCAAGAACCAGCCACUGCCGGACUUGCUCAUUGCGGUGUGUGGAGGAGAGGAGAGGACAGGUGAGGUGGCGGUGUGAUGAGAGGAGAGGAGAUGGGGUUGGUCGGCACACCAGCCUGCUUAAAUAGCAGGGGCAGGCAGACCGAUGCCACUUCAAUGAGACGCCGAAGUAGGUUUCUCGGUUGCCACGUCGAUGUGAACGCCGGUGCAUUCAACCCUUUGGUCUGUUAGAAUAAGUUGUGUAGAGGUAGGAGAGUAGUUUUAAACUUGUAAUCUUCUCUCUUAUCUCUUCUUCUGUUUUCUCUUUCUGUAACCGAUUGAGUCGAUCCUGAUCUCUCUCUCGAUCGAUCUCUACCUUGUAAGCCACGGCAUGUCUCUUAUAUAUACAAUGCGGCCCAGACGAAGGGUUCUACGCUUCCUCAAUUACUUUACAUGGUAACAGAGCCUCUUCCUCGAUAGAUCAGGAAAGAUCGCAUCUAGCUACCUCUUCGACCGAGCGAGAUGUCCACCACCUCCGCCGCCAUGACGGCCAGCACCGUUGGUGCGCUCACCACCUCAUCAUCCUCCGCCUUUGCCUCCUCCUCCACCUCCACCAACACCUCUCUCCUCGGAUCACCACCCCACGAGAAGCUCACGAGGGGUAACUUCCUGCUUUGGAAGGCCAUCGUGCUGCCCCAGAUCAAGGGCGCACAGAUGGAGCACCACCUCGACGCGCAGAGCCCGCCACCGCCGGCCACGCUCACCAUCACCAAGGACGGCAAGGACGAACAGGUCCUCAACCCCGCAUGAUCCCUCUGGUACGCGCAGCAACAGCAGUUCCAAGGAUUCUUGAUGGGAUCCCUAUCCCGCGAGAUCCUGGCACAGGUCGCAACGCUCUCGACGCCGGCCGAAGUAUGGCAUGCCAUCCACGCCAUGUUUGCUGCCCAAAGCCAAGCUCAAGCAAUCAACACCCGCAUCGAGCUCACGAAUCUUCAAAAAGGUAACAUGACAAUGGUUGAAUAUCUUGGAAAAAUAAAGAGCCUUACAGAUGAAGUAGCUUGCACCGCCGCCGCGCUCUCCGAUCCGGAGAUCGUGUCCAAGAUUUUUGCCGGCCUCGACAUGGACUACAACCCUGUGGUCUCGGCUCUUGCUGCACGGGUGGAGCCCAUCACGGUUCAGGAGCUGUAUAGCCAGCUCUUGAGCUUCGACGCUCGUCUUAGUCUCCUCCACGGCACCAACGUUCGACGGUCCUCCGCCAACUCUGCCUCCCGUGGCCGUGGCCGUGGGCGCGGUCACCAGGGGCAAUGAGGCGGCGGGCGCGGGCGCGGCAACAGCGACUACACCAACAACAGCGGCAGCAGCGGCUACAACAACAGGGCAGGGGGUGGUGGCUUCAACGCCAACAACAGCCGCCGUCCCCCUUCCUCCCGUGCGAAACCUCGCUGCCAGCUCUGCAAGAAGGCGGGCCAUGAAGUUAUGGACUGCUGGCAUCGGUACGAUGAGAACUUUGUUCCUGAUUCCCGUCACGUUGCUGCUGCCAUGCGUGAACAAGGAGGAGAAGGGGUUUGGUAUGUUGACUCUGGUGCAACGGAGUCACAAGCGAACUAGAGCAACUCGCCCUCCGUGAACAGUAUCAUGGCAACGAUCAAAUUCACACUGCAAGCGGUGGAGGUAUGGAUAUUCAACACAUUGGUCAAGCUUUUAUUAAUUCCCCUACGCUUAAACGUGAUCUAAUCCUAAAAGAUGUUUUUCAUGUUCCUCAAGCCGACAAAAAUCUUGCAUCCAUGUCUCGUUUAGCCAAUGAUAAUAACAUCUUCUUUGAAACUCACCCUCGUUACUUUUUCAUAAAGGAUCGGGCAACGAGGGAACUCCUCCAUCACGGUAGAUGCAUUGGAGGUCUCUACCCCAUCACAUCCGGAGCACUUAGUCGCAAGCGUCGUCAAGUCCACUCCGCCAGCAAGCCCUCCUUGGCCAGGUGGCAUCAAAGAUUAGGGCAUCCGUCAUCGAUCAUAGUUCAACAAGUAGUCAAUAAAGGCAAUCUCUUAUUGUCCCAUAGUUCAGUUAAUGAGUCUGUUUGUGAAGCUUGUCAAUGUGCCAAGAGUCACCAACUCCCUUAUCCCAAGUCGAAUAGUGUAUCUCAUGCUCCUUUAGAACUUAUAUUCAGUGAUGUAUGGGGUCAUGCCAGAGAUUCUUUUGGAAGAAAAAAAUAUUAUGUCAGUUUCAUUGAUGACUAUAGCAAGUUUACUUGGAUUUAUUUGCUCAAGUACAAAUCUGAAGUUUUCUCUGUGUUUCAAGAGUUCCAAAAACUUGUUGAACGUCACUUUGAUCGGAAAAUUUUGACAGUCCAAAGUGACUGGGGAGGGGAGUAUGAAAAACUCAACUCUUUCUUCCGUAGCAUAGGCAUUGAACAUCAUGUAUCUUGCCCUCAUGCUCACCAACAAAACGGCUCCGCUGAGCGGAAACAUCGCCACAUUGUUGAAGUUGGUCUCUCACUUCUUGCUCAUGCAUCUAUGCCUCUCAAGUAUUGGGAUGAAGCAUUCAUCACUGCCACCUAUCUUAUAAAUCGCCUCCCUAGUAAAGUCAUUGCCAACACCACUCCAUUGGAGCGUUUGUAUCAUCAAAAACCUGACUACAAUUCUAUUAAAAUAUUUGGGUGUGCUUGCUAUCCCAACCUACGUCCAUACAAUCGCCAUAAACUCGAAUUUCGUUCUACUCAAUGUGUGUUUAUUGGCUAUAGUAAUCUUCAUAAAGGCUACAAAUGCUUAGAAGUUGCAACCGGGCGCAUCUAUAUUUCUCGCGACAUUGUUUUUGAUGAGACCCUUUUUCCGUUCGCCAAACUUCAUCCUAACGCUGGAGCCCUUCUCCGUGCUGAAAUAGCACUCCUUUCCGAUCACGGGGGUGAAUUAAAUAAAACUGACUGUGUGCAAAAUUCCAUCGAAAAUAGUGGUUCUGAUGAUGUUUGUGCAGAAUUGGGCCAUGAUUUUAUGUGUGCAGGAAAAGACAGGAACGGCACAGAGCACGAGGCGGAUUCACCUGGCAGCAGCAGCGCGCGAUCCAACGCUGAUCUGCGUGCCAGUCCUGCCUCUGUCGUCGAGCGAUCCGACGCAGAUUGGCAUGCAGCCAAUCAGGUGGACGCCAGCGUGGGUUCCCCCGCUCCAAGACAGUUGUGGCCGACAGCCCGCUCCUGGUGGACCCCGACAGCGGGGCCAGCCCACGCGCCAGCCCACGCGCGGAAGAAACCGCGUCCCCACGUGGUGCGCGCGGUACCGAGCCAGCCGCCGACAGCGCUGUCAGCGGGGCGCCUGCGGGGUCAGGAUCGCCCUUGGAUCACGCGCCUGGAUUCUCUGCAGAUCCUGCGCGGCUAUCCUUCUUGGAUCAGGAGCCAGAAUCUUCUGUGCCUGACUCUACAACAUCUCCUGCGCCUGGAUCUUCUGUGCCUACAGCAUCUACAGUACCAGAACCUCCUCGUCGGCAUACUCGAUCACAGUCAGGUAUUAUUAAAGAAAAAGAAUAUACCGAUGGUACGGUCAGGUAUGACAGAGUAAGGCGUGCUUUUCUCAGUCACAUUGGUGAACCGACUCAUUUGCAUGAUGCCCUUACACACAAAGAAUGGAAAGAAGCUAUGGAUCAUGAAUAUGAUGCACUCAUGAAAAAUAAAACAUGGCAUUUAGUACCACCAAGGCAGGGUCACAAUGUCAUAGAUUGUAAAUGGGUAUACAAGAUAAAGAGAAAAUCUGAUGGAAGCAUAGACAGAUACAAGGCUAGACUAGUUGCCAAAGGUUUCAAACAGAGAUUUGGUAUUGAUUAUGAAGAUACUUUUAGUCCUGUUGUUAAGUCAGCUACUAUUCGACUUGUACUGUCUAUUGCUAUUUCCAGAGGUUGGAGCCUACGCCAGCUAGAUGUUCAGAACGCGUUUCUUCAUGGUGUUCUUGAGGAAGAAGUGUUCAUGCGGCAACCACAGGGAUAUGAGGACCGAAGUACACCACACUAUGUAUGUAAGUUGGAUAAAGCUUUGUAUGGUUUGAAACAGGCCCCGAGAGCUUGGUACUCAAGGUUGAAUAUGCAGCUACAACAACUUGGGUUUACACCAUCUAAAGCAGAUACCUCAUUGUUCUUUUAUCAUAGAGAUAAGAUCACUAUAUUUGUGCUUGUCUAUGUUGAUGAUAUAAUUGUUGCUAGUUCAAGUGCACAUGCUACCACUUGUUUGCUUAAAGAUUUGAAGUUGGAAUUUGCUCUCAAGGACUUAGGUGAUCUUCAUUAUUUUCUUGGCAUAGAAGUUAAUCAGAUAAAGGAUGGUAUACUUCUUACACAAGAAAAAUACACCAAUGAUAUACUCAAGAGAGUGGGAUUGGACGAAUGUAAACCUGUAAGUACACCAAUUUCAACUUCAGAGAAACUUACAGUUGAAAGUGGAGAGGCACUUGGACCGGAAGAUGCAACAAAAUAUAGAAGUGUUGUUGGUGCUUUACAAUAUUUGACUCUUACUCGUCCUGAUAUUUCUUAUUCUGUCAAUAAGGUAUGUCAAUAUUUACAUGCACCUAGAACAACUCACUGGACUGCAGUAAAAAGGAUUUUAAGGUACCUCAAAUAUUCAAAAGGUCUUGGACUUCAGAUUACAAAAUCAUUGUCUCUACUAGUUACUGCAUAUUCUGAUGCAGACUGGGCAGGAUGUGCUGAUGACAGGAGGUCCACAGGUGGUUUUGCUGUGUUUCUGGGAACAAAUCUUGUGUCAUGGAGUGCAAGAAAACAGGCUACUGUCUCUAGGUCAAGUACAGAAGCUGAGUAUAAAGCACUAGCUAAUGCUACAGCUGAGGUAAUGUGGAUACAGACUUUGCUAUAUGAACUUGGAAUCAAAGCUCCACAGGCAGCGAGGUUAUGGUGUGAUAAUAUUGGUGCCACUUAUCUCUCAGCUAAUCCUGUUUUUCAUGCACGGACCAAACACAUUGAAGUUGAUUUUCACUUUGUCAGAGAAAGAGUAGCUCGAAAGCUACUUGAUAUUCGUUUUAUACCAACCGGUGAUCAACUUGCUGAUGGCUUCACAAAACCUCUACUACAAGAAGGUUGAACGAGUUCAAGAACAAUCUUAACCUUAGAAAAGUUCAUUCGGUUCAGAUUGAGGGGGAAUCUUAGAAUAAGUUGUGUAGAGGUAGGAGAGUAGUUUUGAACUUGUAAUCUUCUCUCUUAUCUCUUUUUCUGUUUUCUCUUUCUGUAACCGAUUGAGUCGAUCCUGAUCUCUCUCUCGAUCGAUCUCUACCUUGUAAGCCACGGCAUGUCUCUUAUAUAUAUACAAUGCGGCCCAGACGAAGGUUCUACGCUUCCUCAAUUACUUUACAUGGUCACGUCCGUCUGCCCAUCAAUUCGGGUAGGCGGCCGUCCAGUCGCAUCAGCUCUGCAUCCACGCUAAGCGGCAUGAAUGUGCGGCGAGGUUUCUAGAGCAGAAGGUGCGGGAAGGGUUUUGGGCGGGGCCGUGUAGUCGGACGCAAACGUAGCACGAGUCCAAACGCCCGCAAACCUUCCCUGGGUUUGGUACCGGUUUGUGGGAUUUUGGACGAGACCUUUUACAGUGCAUCAAACUAAUGUGAGCCGUCCAUUUUCAGUGAUUCAAUGGACUAAAUCCACCAAUACAACUAGAAAAAAUCAAUAGUAUAUUUUGUUCAAGGGGUAAAAUUGGAAGACUUACAAAAUAGAUACCAAAACUCUACACGUAUUGGGAAAUCCGUGUUUUUUCUUCUCCUGCCCUGACGAGACUGCAGGGACCGGUUCGGCCAAAUAUUUUCCGGCGGACAUGAGAUGCAACAGAGACGAUUGUACAUAGUCGAUGGAUCCAUGCCGGAGGUCUUUUUGGCCGAGGAAAUCACCAUAUACAAUACAUUGAUUGAUCGUGUCAUGAUGUACUAGUACGCGUAUGUGAUCAGCCGAUUGUUUUCCGGCGAUCAAGCCGGUGGCCGCGACCGAUGCACACAAGCGACGCACGCACAAGCAGCGGCCGCACCUCCGAGAGGGAGCUGCAGCAACGACGGCGCUGCUGAUCAGGACGCCGUAGUGGCGGCUCCGUGGCCUCCUGAUUGAUUUGAUGCCCGAUCACAGACAUAGCUCCCACUUGAAGGUCAUGGCUCUGAUCGAUUGUUGAACAUGCACCAUUGAUGACCGGCGAUGGCAACGACGAGGUCACAUGAGGAUGGCCACCGUGAGCGAUUUUACAAAUUAGGAAACUUUUUUUUUUUGACAAAACUACCCCGCUAAUUAACGGCUGAGAUGAUUCAAUACUACUUGGUACCAGAGGUAGUAUGAUGUGCCGUAAAAAAUCUCUUUUGGACGUCCGAAGGCGUCCACGGUGUUUAAGGGACACCAUUGGAUGGCAAAAUAUCCAGACAAGCCAGUCCGAACGUUUAGGGGAGGUUUGGUGAUGGGCGUUGUAGUUGCCCGAAAGGACAUAAGACACCAACCGUCCGGUGAACCAGCCUCCACCAACCCACUCUCUGUUCUAAGAAAUUUGAGUUCUCUCAUCACCAGCAGUCCCCACUCUCGUAUUCAUCACAACUAUAACCACAGCAAAUAUAAAAAUCACUCCAAAAAAAACCAAAAAAAUAGUUGGGGACAUGAAACUCACCGUGACCUCGAUAGGCACCCUGGUGUCGACGCGGUGCUGGUAGUAAAGGUCAAUGCAGCUGACGCCGAGCCGCUCGAGGCUGCCCUCGCACGCCGCCCGCACGUAGGCCGGAUCCCCGCGAACCUCCCGCUUGCCGUCGGCGAACGAGAUGCCGAACUUGGUGGCCAGCUCUACCCUCUCCCUCACGCCCCCCAGCAGCGCCUGUCAC
rnacentral:lncRNA from 1 species